ensembl:lncRNA
UGGUAUUGUAAAUUUAUGUAGUGUGAACAGGUAUGAAUUUGGUAGUUCUGAUAACACUGUAUGUUAUCUGUCUAAUAUUUUCUGUUGUAUGCAGGAGGUAAUCAGGAAAAACCCUUCUGUGUUUUAUUUAACGCUUACAGUUCCUGCUGAUAGAAACAAAAUUGCAGUCCACUGAACAGCAUCCACAUUUCACUGCAAAGACAUUUACUUCCUCAGAACUUAAUAGAAGAGGAGCAGGAACUCAGAACCUGCAGAAAUAUCUGAGAAGGGGUGUUUCCUUAUGGCCUUUACCUGAACAACACUGGUCGUUGUUUGUUUUGAAUAUCAAAUUCCAAGAGGAAAAGAAAAGCAACGUGAACGAAAACUUUCAAGGGAAUGUAAAACCAAAGGGAGGAGGUACGUGGGGGUUUUUUUUCAGGUCUCCACUAGCUUUGCUCUGCAAUGCUGCUUUGCCUUUCAGUUAUAAUUUUUUAAGCUUCCUUUGAGCUGUGCUGAUGCAAUCUUCUCAGUGGUCUUCUUCAUGUUCUCCUUGUUUCCACCAAAGGAAGAGAGUAAUUAUUAUGCUUCAUAUGCAUGUUGGCUUAAAUCUGCCUGAUGCUCCAUCCAUCG